rnacentral:ribozyme from 1 species
UGCCCAGCAACUCCUAUCCCUACCAUCACGUGGCACUGGCUGGACUGCGAGCAACAUUAUAGAGGAUCGGAUAACAAGCCCCGGUGGAAACUCUGGUCGUAGGCUGAUAGGGAAGG